rnacentral:RNase_P_RNA from 1 species
GAAGUUGACCGGAUAGUCGCUGCUUCAUUGAUGUCCCUUGAGCUUGCUCGGGGAGACUGAUGGAGGGGAGGAAAGUCCGGGCUCCAUAGAGCAGGGUGCCAGGUAACGCCUGGGAGGCUAAAGCCUACGACAAGUGCAGCAGAGAGAAGACCGCCGAUGGCCUUAGGGCACAGGUAAGGGUGAAAGGGUGCGGUAAGAGCGCACCGGACGGCUGGCAACAGUUCGUUGCAAGGUAAACUCCACCCGGAGCAAGACCAAAUAGGCCCCCACAUUGCGUGGCUCGCGUAAGGGGGCGGGUAGGUUGCUUGAGCCAGUGAGCGAUUGCUGGCCUAGACGAAUGACUAUCACCGUUUCGACGGUACAGAACCCGGCUUACAGGUCAACUUCACCU